UCGGUUAGUGUGAGAUUUAGUGAAAGAAAACCACACAUAGAGAAAAGGAAGAGGAAGGUUCUGCGUCAUCGUCUUCCUUUCCUCUCCUCGUUUUCCUUUCCGCUCUUCGUUUUCUAUUUGUUUCCUAGAAUUUCUCGAAUUCUCUUAUCAUUUUCUGUAUAGAAUUUUUCCAGCCAUUUUCUUCCAAUUGAUCCCUUUUAGGGAUUCAAUUUCCCCAUUUGGAUUUGCCCUUCUGUCGCUUAUAUUGCUUCUUGUGAGAAGAGAGAGAACUCUUUGCAAGAAGCUAGGGAAAUGAAUUUGUAUACAUUAUUUGUUAAUAUGAUUCUGCUAAAUAUUAAUUUAAUGCAAUUGUUUGCUUUGUAUUUUUGGCCUUUGUAAUUAUAAUGUUUGAUGGUUAUUUUGUGGUUCGAUUAAAGCAUUGGUCCAUCUCAUUUUCCAUGGUGAAGAAAUCUGCAAAAUACUCUGUGGUACUCUCUCUUUCUCUCAUGUGUGUAUGAAUUCAGUGCUGAAGUACGUGUGCAGAUGGAUGCCUUCACUAACUUAGCUUUCAUGGGGAACCCAUCAACGGUUUGCUUACUGGAGGAAGACAAAGACGACCAGUGGUUGCUGUUGGUUGAUUAAGGUCUAAACUGUCAUUUCCUUAUUUGUAGCAAGCUGUUAGUUUGAGUAAUUAGAGUUGUUAAUGAUCAAGGGCUGAGAUUAGAUCAAUUUAUAGUAGGCUCAAAUGUGAGCAAGUGUCAAUAUUUCAUAGGGUCUUGUAAUGAAUGGUUGGAUGAGCUUAUAGGCUCUCCUAAAUUCUCUCUCUCUAACGGUUAUGUAAAUGCUGGUGUGAUGAAAUGAGCACACGCAGAAGAGCAUUCUAGCUCUCUCUAAAAUUCUGAGUACUCUCUUUCUAUCUCUUC
rnacentral:lncRNA from 1 species